CAGCAGCCGCGGUAAAACGAGGGGAGCUGGCGUUAUUCGGAAUUACUGGGCGUAAAGCGUGCGCAGGCGGUUAUGUAAGACAGUUGUGAAAUCCCCGGGCUCAACCUGGGAACUGCAUCUGUGACUGCAUAGCUAGAGUACGAUAGAGGGGGAUGGAAUUCCGCGUGUAGCAGUGAAAUGCGUAGAUAUGCGGAGGAACACCGAUGGCGAAGGCAAUCCCCUGGACCUGUACUGACGCUCAUGCACGAAAGCGUGGGGAGCAAACAGGAUUAGAUACCCCCGUAGUCCCUGUCUCUUAUAC
rnacentral:rRNA from 1 species